AUAUCGUCAUAAGCCGCUAACUUAGCUUCUCUCACAGCUUUCUUCGGCUCUUGCUUUGCUCUUCUAUACCUUUCACCAUUUUCAUCGGUCCUAUCCUUGUAUAAGGCUUUACAACAUUCCUUCUUAGCCUUCACCUUUGUUUGUACCUCCUUAUUCCACCACCAAGAUUCCUUUUGGUGUGGAGCAAAGCCCUUGGACUCUCCUAAUACCUCUUUUGCUACUUUUC
rnacentral:lncRNA from 1 species